rnacentral:rRNA from 1 species
UACGGAGGGGGCUAGCGUUGUUCGGAAUUACUGGGCGUAAAGCGUACGUAGGCGGAUCAGAAAGUAUGGGGUGAAAUCCCAGGGCUUAACCCUGGAACUGCCUCAUAAACUCCUGGUCUUGAGUUCGAGAGAGGUGAGUGGAAUUCCAAGUGUAGAGGUGAAAUUCGUAGAUAUUUGGAGGAACACCAGUGGCGAAGGCGGCUCACUGGCUCGAUACUGACGCUGAGGUACGAAAGUGU